GCUUACGGCCAUACCAACCUGGCUAUGCCCGAUCUCGUCUGAUCUCGGAAGCUAAGCAGGUUUGGGCCUGGUUAGUAAUUGGAUGGGAGACCGCCUGGGAAUACCAGGUGCUGUAAGCU
rnacentral:rRNA from 1 species